rnacentral:rRNA from 1 species
AACGAACGCUGGCGGCAGGCCUAACACAUGCAAGUCGAACGAUAAGCCAUCUUCGGGUGGUGGACAGUGGCAGACGGGAUGAGUAACGCGUGGGAACGUGCCUUUCGGUUCGGAAUAACCCAGGGAAACUUGGGCUAAUACCGGAUACGCCCUUCGGGGGAAAGAUUCAUUGCCGAAAGAUCGGCCCGCGUCGGAUUAGCUAGUGGUGGGGUAAUGGCUCACCAAGGCGACGAUCCGUAGCUGGUCUGAGAGGAUGACCAGCCACACUGGGACUGAGACACGGCCCAGACUCCUACGGGAGGCAGCAGUGGGGAAUAUUGGACAAUGGGCGCAAGCCUGAUCCAGCCAUGCCGCGUGGGUGAAGAAGGCCUUUAGGGUUGUAAACCCCUUUCAGCGGGGAAGAAUAAUUGACGGUACCCGCAAGAAAGAAAGUUCCCGGGCCAACUCCGUUGCC